GUGCCAGCAGCCGCGGUAAUACGUAGGUGGCAAGCGUUGUCCGGAUUUACUGGGCGUAAAGAGCGCGCAGGCGGUCUUGUAAGUCGAAUGUGAAAGCCCCUGGCUCAACCGGGGAGGGUCAUUCGAUACUGCUUGACUCGAAGGCAGGAGAGGGAAGCGGAAUUCCGGGUGUAGUGGUGAAAUGCGUAGAUAUCCGGAGGAACACCAGUGGCGAAGGCGGCUUUCUGGCCUGUUCUUGACGCUGAGGCGCGAAAGCUAGGGGAGCAAACGGGAUUAGAAACCCCUGUAGUCC
rnacentral:rRNA from 1 species